rnacentral:rRNA from 1 species
UUGAUCCUGGCUUAGGAUGAACGCUGGCGGCGUGCCUAACACAUGCAAGUCGAACGAGCGAGAGAUGAAACCUAGUGAUUCUCGAGCGAGUGGCGGACGGGUGAGUAACGCGUGGGUAACCUGCCUUACAGAGGGGGAUAACAGUCUGAAAAGACUGCUAAUACCGCAUAAGCACACAGUACCGCAUGGUACAGGGUGAAAAGAUUUAUCACUGUAAGAUGGACCCGCGUCUGAUUAGCCAGUUGGCAGGGUAACGGCCUACCAAAGCGACGAUCAGUAGCCGACCUGAGAGGGUGAUCGGCCACAUUGGGACUGAGACACGGCCCAAACUCCUACGGGAGGCAGCAGUGGGGGAUAUUGCACAAUGGAGGAAACUCUGAUGCAGCCGACGCCGCGUGAGUGAAGAAGUAUUUCGGUAUGUAAAGCUCUAUCAGCAGGGAAGAUAAUGACAGUACCUGACCAAGAAGCCCCGGCUAACUACGUGCCAGCCGCCGC